rnacentral:rRNA from 1 species
GACGAACGCUGGCGGCGUGCUUAACACAUGCAAGUCGAGCGGUAAGGCCCUUUCGGGGGUACACGAGCGGCGAACGGGUGAGUAACACGUGGGUGACCUGCCCUCAGCUCUGGGAUAAGCCUGGGAAACCGGGUCUAAUACUGGAUAUGACUCCAUGACGCAUGUUGUGGGGUGGAAAGCCUUGUGCGGCUGAGGAUGGGCCCGCGGCCUAUCAGCUUGUUGGUGGGGNGAUGGCCUACCAAGGCGACGACGGGUAGCCGGCCUGAGAGGGCGACCGGCCACACUGGGACUGAGACACGGCCCAGACUCCUACGGGAGGCAGCAGUGGGGAAUCUUGCGCAAUGGGCGAAAGCCUGACGACGCAACGCCGCGUGGA